UACGGGGGGGAGCAAGCGUUGUUCGGAUUUACUGGGCGUAAAGGGCGCGUAGGCGGCGUGACAAGUCACUUGUGAAAUCUCCGGGCUUAACUCGGAACGGUCAAGUGAUACUGUCGUGCUAGAGUACAGAAGGGGCAACUGGAAUUCUCGGUGUAGCGGUGAAAUGCGUAGAUAUCGAGAGGAACACCAGUGGCGAAGGCGGCUCACUGGACUGGUAUUGACGCUGAGGUGCGAAAGCGUGGGGGAGCAAACAGG
rnacentral:rRNA from 1 species